GAACUGCUGAAAUGUGCCAAG
rnacentral:piRNA from 1 species